GCCGUUCGUUGAAAUGCUCUUUUCUGCUGAUGGGAGAGAUCUGCGGUGCGACGACUUGAUUAACCCCCAAAUCUCACUUCGCUGCCCGUCACUUCUUACCGAAAAGCCCUCGGCAGGUGCUGAUAUGUCGUGUUCCCACCCGCGCCCGGAACGGAGCUCUCAGAUGGGAGUUGGUCCUCCCCAACCUCCACUCUCGCGACGCUCCCCACCCCACCUUCUUCCAUUAAUAUAUUGACCUUCUUCUUCACCUCCUCUUCUCUCUCUUUCUCUCUCUCUCUCUCUCUCUCUCCGUGGCUUCUCUUCAUGCCUUCGCCUGCUCUAGGGUUUCUCCCCGGCCAUGAAGUGCUUCCAUUUCUCCAGCGGCGACGCCGGCGGCACCUUCGAUGACGCCGGAUCCAGGGUCUCCCGCCUCUCCUGGGCACGCUCCCUCAGCAUCGCGUCCACCUCCUCCUCGCUCGGACUCGAGCCACGGCGGGCCGAGCUCGACCCCGGCUGGGACCUCCCAUGCCCGGCGACCGCCGGGCCGCCCGAGGGCCUCCGCGCGUUCGCGUUCUCGGAGCUGAAGGCCGCCACCAGGGGGUUCGGCCGAUCCCUCCUGAUCGGCGAGGGCGGGUUCGGGUGCGUCUACAGGGGUGUCGUCACGGUCGCAGGCGACGACGGCGCCGCCGAGACGAUGGACGUCGCUGUAAAGCAGUUGAACCGGCACGGGUUGCAGGGGCACAAGGAAUGGGUUACCGAAGUCAAUUUUCUUGGUGUAGUGAAGCAUCCAAAUCUUGUCAAGUUGGUGGGUUAUUGUGCUGAAGAUGAUGAGAGGGGGAUUCAAAGGCUUCUUGUUUAUGAAUUGAUGCGCAAUAAAAGCUUGGAGGAUCACUUAUUAUCUCGAGUUUCAUCAGCUCUCUCAUGGUCUCUAAGGUUAAAGAUUGCACUAGAUGCUGCACGUGGUUUAGCAUACCUCCACGAAGAAAUGGAUUUUCAGUUAAUAUUUCGGGAUUUUAAGACAUCCAACAUUUUGCUAGAUGAAGAUUUCAAUGCCAAGCUCUCAGACUUUGGUUUUGCUAGGCAUGGCCCAACAGCAGGAGUUGGUCAUGUUGAGACAUCAGUAGUUGGCACCGUUGGCUAUGCUGCUCCAGAGUACAUCCACACCGGAAAAUUAACUGCUAAAAGCGAUGUAUGGAGUUUCGGUGUGGUUCUUUAUGAACUUGUAACAGGAAGACGGUCCUUAGAUAGGAACCUACCAAGAAGUGAACAAAAGCUCUUGGAGUGGGUAAAACCUUUUGCAACGGACCCCAAAAAGCUCCACACUAUUAUGGAUUCACGACUCGAAGGGAAGUAUUGCUUAGAAUCUGCUCAGAAUCUAGUGGCUUUGGCAAACAGAUGCCUAAAGAAGCAACCAAAGUCACGUCCUAGAAUGAGCGAGGUGGUCGAGAUGCUUGAUCAGAUCAUUAAGACGUCUAACAGUGAGACUACAGAAACCAUCACCGGUACAUCAAUCUCUCCGGGGGAGGAUGCUGCUGACACGAAAAAGCUGUCAAGAGAUAAAAGUUCCAGGAGCAGGGUCUUCGAAAUCAAGGAUAUGCUCACCCUAAAGAAUAACUCUGUGGGGAGGUUAUACUGGAGAUCAUUGGCCUCAGGACCGAUUGCAAGGAUGGCAAGGAAUCGGCCAUAAGCUUGCAUGGUGGAGUUCAAUUCUUGGUUUCUUUUGGUACUGGUGGAUGAGUUAGCAGCAGGCAAGGUUUUGGUACUAGUUCUACUGUUCUUCUUGAAUCAUCUCGAUCUCUUUCCUUCACCAUUCACAGAAACGACAGAACGGAUGUCUGUUCCUGUGUUCAAUUGUUUAGCAUCUUGCGUCUGAACGACGCUUCUUGGUGUUCAACCGAUGUACAAAGUUUUCAAAGCAGAAGAACAAUGUGUUUUUCCUGGGAGAGAACGUGGAAGUGCACCGAGGCAUUGAUACAACUAUACUCCAAAACAUUUGUUAUACAAGUUGGGAGUGAGCAAUCCAAAAAGGAUCUCUAAGAACUCUGGCAGGUGGUAACAGAGGAAGCCACCCGACUCUUUGGCUGCUGCAUUAAAUCGGUACUAAAACUGUCUCUCCUUUGGAGAGCUUGCAAAACAAAGACUGAGAUGAGUCGAUGAUGCAAACGCAGGCAACAGUAUCUUAAGGCUGUAUAUGCCUGUCCUCUCUAGCAUAAGACCACACUUCCAAGUGACAACUGGAAACCACCACAUCCCUCAAGGCAGUGGGCAAAGAACCCCUCACGACCUUGUCGAGGGACAGAGAUGCAGAGAUGGUCAAAUGCAAUUAUAGGCAGCCAUAGAUAGAUGCUCCCCCAUCCAUCACAACCCACCACACUUCUUCCGCACGACCACCUUCUCCUUCUCCUCCUCCUCCUCCUCCUCUGUUCCCACGACUGGACUGUUGCAGCAUAAAGAGGAGAUGAAAUGAGGUGGUGGACACAGAAUCAUGGAUCAAGCCACCUGAUGUCUUGUGUGCUUACUCAGUGGCCAACCACAUGGCUUGCCAGAAGCCCACUGAACUGAAGGUGGCCAUUGGAAGAGCUGCAUCUAAAUUUUUUUUUUUCCUUUCGAUACUGUUCUUCACUCCUCCUGACCUCUGUUUGUGGCAUUGAUGUGGAGUUCAACUGGUUCUAAUUCAUUAGACAUGCAUUGUUAAUCCUUCUUGUUUCAGUUU